UACAGAGGUCUCAAGCGUUGUUCGGAUUCAUUGGGCGUAAAGGGUGCGUAGGCGGCGCGGUAAGUCGGGUGUGAAAUCUUGGAGCUUAACUCCGAAACUGCAUUCGAUACUGCCGUGCUUGAGGACUGGAGAGGAGACUGGAAUUUACGGUGUAGCGGUGAAAUGCGUAGAUAAUCGUAAGGAAGACCAGUGGCGAAGGCGGGUCUCUGGACAGUUCCUGACGCUGAGCACGAAGGCCAGGGGAGCGAAACGGG
rnacentral:rRNA from 1 species